UCAAGUACGAACGGCGGUCAUACUGAAAUGUUCGUUGUCAACGCUAGCUGCACGCGGCUCUUCUUAGUUCCCUUUCUGACGGCCACGAGGCACGAUUUCUUAAGGAAGUCGGUGCUUGUUAAAUUACACGAUAGAAAUGCACGUGGAGGCUAGUUUGCAUUACUUAAAGUCUACGCAUAACAGUGACGUUUCAGUGUAGGUCCUGGUUAGUUGAUCCUUUGGUUAGAAAGUUUACUUUCUCUCCAGACACGAAGACGCACGGAUUUGUCUUGUUUCUGGUGGAUAUAUGGGCUAAAGACGUAUCUACAUCCUUGCUCAGGUCCAAUAUCUACCAUGCAGAAGAACGAACAGAGGCUCACUUGUAAGUAUGCUACUGAUGGUAAUGCAAAGUAUUUAAUGUUGACCAUACCAAUUUUAGUUUUGUGAAAUGCGCACUUGAUUUUGUUUUUGCUUUAAAACCAAAUGUAAAUGUAGGGUUUUGUUUCAAUAAAAUAUUUUUUAUUUCA